CGCUUUGGAUAAAUGCGCCUUUCCUAUGGACAGAAGAAAAGCAAACGGGAUGAGAUCGGGACGUGACCAGGCUGCGCACACAAGACAUGUUAUUUCACAGGAGAUUUCCAGCUCAGAUUUCACACUUUGCAUCGGGUGAACCUUGUGCAGCAAAAUUCCUGAAAAUCUGCGCAGAACAGACGGGAUUUUGCUGCAGUAAUUCCGCACUGCCGAUCAUACAAGCUGGAAAAACACAACAGGUGUCGCGUCUUUCAAGGUCACCGAUGUCGGAAAUCUUUUAAAAUAAAAAUACACAAUGAUACGUUGUUGCCAUUGCUGGAGGUUGUCACCAACUUUUAGUCAAUUAUAUUAAAAGCUUC